UUUCACUAUAUUUAAGCACCCAGGGCGGCACACCUUCCAAAAAUUUUUGUGUAUCCUUAAAAGACAUGUAUACCAAGACCCAGGAGUGGACAAGAAGGUAAGCCACACCAAACAAGGAAACAAAUGGAUGCACAAGGUAAUGACAUGACUGGCAAAUGUUUUUGGUGUAAGCUACAAGGACAUCAGAAGAAGGAUUGCAGAAAAUAUUUUAGAUUCACGCAAAAACAGCAAACUUCUGACCAGCCAUAUGUAAACCAACAUGCACAAGAUGACAGAGCAUGAAGGUGCGCAACCCCUGUGUCAGCGACAAUAUCUGUGCAUCCUGUGACAACUGACAUUUCAACAAAAGGUACAAUUACAGUGACUUUACCCACAGGACAAGAACUUGAUUGUUUAAUAGACACAGGGGCUUCAAGAACUGUUUUUGUGCACAACCAGAUUCCUCCACAUUUACUUACAGAUCAGGCCAUCAAAGCAACUGGAUUGGGAGGUCAAGCCCUACUCCUGCAAGAAAGUAAUAUGAUGCCCUUACUCAUCAAUAAUGAAGCCACACUUGUCCCAGCGGCAUUCCUGACCUCACCCACCUGUCCAGUCAACCUUUUGGGAGCGGACAUCCUAGCCCUAAUGCAAGCAACAAUCCAGUACACUCCAAAAGGCAUUAAGUAUACCAGCAACGCUCCAGCAAAGAUACAACCUGAAAUAGAAGCUGCUAUACAAGUCUACCUCUCACAGGAAAAGAAAGAUGAAGAGGAACAGCAACUCCCAGCAUGGACAUCAUCAGUCCCUGAUAGAUUAUGGUCUGAGGAAAACCGGAUGUGAGACUUCUUAAAGUACAGCCAGUACAACUGCAAAUAAAGAAAGGAACAGUACCAGUGUCCAUCAAACAGUACUCCCUUACCCCAGCACAGGAUUCUUGCUUUCACAUAUAAGGGUAAACAGUACUAUUGGACAAGACUGCCCCAGAGGGGGGUGGCACAUCACCAAGUGAUUUCACUGAAGCCAUGUCUACAAUAUUAUAAGCAUGAGACCCCUCUAUCCAGAAAACAAACAGCUGAUACAGGAUGUAGAUGACCUGCUAAUUGCCACCACCACUGAAAAGAAGUACCAAGAAGAGACAGUGUACUUAUUAAAGUUUCUGGAAGAACAAGACUGCAGAGCCUCAAAGGAGAAAUUGCAGCUAGCAAAGUAAAAUGUAAUCUUCCUAGGACAUGGUAUUACAAGGCACCUGACAGAGAACAGGAAAAGGCUCAUACUGCAAGCGAAAAUGCCAACUACUCUGAAGCAAGUCAGAUCAUUCCUAGGCCUAGUGGGAUACUGCAGAGAAUGGAUACCUCUGGCUUCAGUCUACACGCAAACUCUGUAUGACAGCACCAAAAAGGAGGGUCCACACCCCACCCAACUAGAGAUGGAAGAAGCAAUCAAGCAAUUAAAAAUAGCAAUUGCCUCAUCUCCAGCCCUAGGAAUACCUGACUACAGUAAAUCUUUUACCUUGUAUUGUCAUGAAGAAGGAGGCCAUACACUGGGAGUCCUCAAAUUCACGGACUAAAACCAAGACCAGUGGCCUACCACUCAAGUAAGCUUAACAACAUUAUUCAAGAAGCGCCUACCUGCAUCAGAGCAGUGGCAGCAGCAGCAGUCCUAGAAGAGGACAAGAGCACAGGCACGGUGCUGAAUCAUAAGCUCAUAAUCCAGGUACCACAUGCAGGUACAAAGAAGCUUCAACAAGCAAGACCCAAACACCUGUCAGGAGUGAGGCUGACCAAGUAUGAAGUAGCACUGCUAAGUGCAACAAAUGUGACCAUCAGAAGAUGUACUACCCUCAACCCAGCAACCCUUUUACCAGCAUUAAUAAAUAAAGGUGUUGAUUCUGAAGAUUAAAAAGGAGGGAGAAACAGAUUAUCUUCCCUAUUGAUGGAUCAGCAAGAAGAUGAUGAUGAGGACCAGGAAGGUGGUCCAGAAGAAGAAGAUAGAGACAGAUCAUCAUGGACGCAGGACCAGAGGGAUGGUCCAAAAGAGGAAGAGAAUAUUUCUAAUAAUCAAAAUGUUUCUUUCUCUCAUGAUUGUAUGGCUUUAAUGGAACAAGAAACUCAUCUUUUGCCACAUGUUGCAAAUACAGCCCUACUCAAUGCUCACCAUGAGCAAUAUGUGGAUGGUUCAAGGUACUAUGAGGAUGGGAUUCCUUAAACAAGAUAUGCUGUAACCACUGAACAUGAAGUUGUGGACUCAUGAUCUUUACCAUCCCAGCAGAGGAUUGUGGGCCAGAUAUGGAAAAGCAGAGGCUUCAAGACGGCAAGUGACGAAGGCAUACAACAUGCUUUACCGAUCAGACACCGGUUCAGAGCUCUACAAGGGCCACAAAAAAGUUGCAUUGAUGACUAUCCAGGCACACACAAGAAACGACAUUCCUGAAACAAGAGGCCACAAUCUGGCAAGAUGCUGAAGCCAAGAUGGCAGCAAAAUGCCCCCAGCAGAAAAGGCAAGCCUAUACAGUAAAUUAACCAUUCCAGAGCCAGACCAAAAUGCCUGAUUAUGCUACACUGAUUGAACUUCAGAACAAAGCAGGAGAUAAUGAGAGAGUAGCCUGUGGAUAAAGAAAGCAACCAAACAACCAGUGAAGGUAGCAAUCUACACUACACAGACAGAAGAAACAAAGCCUCAAAUGCCUGAUCUACAGGAUUUGAAGAAAUUUCAGGAACAAGCAGAUCCUGAAGAAAAAGCAGCAUGGCAGAGAAGAGGAGCCAGACAAAAAGAAGAAACUGGCUUAUGGAAAUUAGAAGAGAAGUUAUACUUACCCAGAAGCUUAUAUCCACUUAUGUGUUAAGGCAGCCAUGGACUCACACACCUGAGAAAGGAUCAAAUGGGAAAUUUAGUUAAUGAAAGAUGGAUAGCUCCAGAAUUUUAUCCAGAUGCAGCCAAGUUUGUACAAGCCUGCUGGAUAUGUGGAAAUGUCCAAUCCAGGACAGAAGGUCAAGACAACCCUUGGAGCAAUCCCCAAAAGUUAUUUUCCAUUUAGAAGACUGCAAAUUGACUAUAACUAACUGCCAAAGAUGUUAUGGUAGUCACAGACAUUUUCAGUUAUUGGCCAAUGGCAAAAGCUACAGCAAGAUCAACAGCUAGAAAAUUAAGUUCAGAAGUUAUUUGCAGAUAAGGAGUACCAGAAGUUACAGUAUCAGAGUGUGUGUGUCACAAAAACCAGAAAAGGAUGCUAAAGUGUUUAUUUUUAGUACUGCUUAAUAGUAGAACCAUACUCAGUAAAAAUAUGGUUUGAUAGCAUACCUAAGAUAGGAUGUUAUUAUCCACAAGAGUUACAGCAUAAAUAUGGUAAUUUGACUGCAUAUGAUAAAAAAAAGUCUUUCUGAAGAAACUGACACCUCUGUAUUCUCUAGUUUUUUGCCUUUCUCCCAGAUUCAGGAGCAGAACUGAAUCCCCACAAGCUUUAACCUGGAGAUUGGGUGUAUCUGAAAAGACACAUGAAAAACUCACUUGAGCCCAGAUUUGAUGGUCCAAAUCAAGUGUGGCUGAUCACACCCACUUCUGUGAAAAUUAAGGAGAGACAGAGAGACUUGGGUCCCACUGCAAACUUGCCCAAGUUAAGUUUGAACAAUGAAAUACACAAACAUACAGAGGCUAAUUGGGCAUAAACUAGACAGGCCACUAUGGGUCAUUAUAUUGGGAACUUCAGUACUUAUUGCAUGACAGUAUAUACCCAGACAGGUAGAAUGUGUUGUACAUUUAUCACUAAUGAAACAGAUAUUGCACAAGAAGUUGUUCAAUGGCAUGUCCAAGAAAUAGAAAAUGAAAAACAAGCAUAUGCCAACAAAAACAAUAUCCCUGACACUCUAGAGGGUGACUGGGCAUGGAUAUCAUGGCUAAAUCCUACUAAGUGGUUUAGUGGAAUCAAAGGAUGGACUUUUGAAAUUUUUAUGUUUUUGUUAAAAAUUGUUGGCUUAGCAAUUAUAAUAUAUCUGUGUUUUAAGAUACUGCUUUGCUGUUUUUCAAUUUGCAAGAAACAAGUAAAUAAAGGUUUUGAUACUUCCAAGUUUAAGACUUACAGAAAAGUCUGGCAAGAAAGAGCCGUGAACAGUCUACCUUGAUGGAUAUGAGUGAAUAGUCAUCAACCCUCCGUCAGACAGAAUGAAAGCACCAUCUUGUGGGGAUAUAGCCUUUAGCACCAUCUUAGCUAGACUGUCUGCUUAGACUUGUUAGGCAGAGAAAUUGUAAUGCCAGAUAUACUGUAAUGUCAGAUUAUUAUAAAAAGGAGGGACUGAAAGAGACGGUAUUAUGCUAAAUCGGCUAUCAGCCAUUUUGUAUAAUGGCAGCCAUUCUAGAUGUAUUUCAAGCUAUUUUUUAUAGGUUUAUAAGUAAUGCUGACAUUUAUAUGAUAUGUGCAUGAGACUCUUAGCCCUAGCAACCUGUAUAAGAAAUAUGCCCAGAAGAGGACCUUCAAGCAUUUUGAAGGAAAUAGAACAGUUAUAAAUAUAAAAACAUCUUAAUAAUUGUUGUAAGCUUUAUAUUUAAUAACUAAAAUCACAUAUAAUGCUAUAAAAUAGGUUUCAACCCAAUAAUCAAUGAACAGAGCCAGCUACUAUAUGUAAUUUCCUUAAAUUAAUUACAUAGAUAUUUCUGUGAGAAACUAUUUUGUUAAGAACAAUAUGAUUUCUCCAGCUGCAGACACAAGGACAUUUAGUUAACUCCCAGGCUAAGAUAAAACUUUAAUUGCGUGAUGAGAACAUUAAAGGAGUAUGUUUUGGAAUGUCCAGGUGACAAUGGAAAGAAGGCUUUCAAGAUUAAUGUCCAGAUGGCGAUAAGAGACAGGCCUUCUCAUUAAAUUAAUGAGCAAACGGUGAUAAGAAUAUAUUCAGGAAUACUAUAAUUGGUUUUAAUUAAAUCAUUGUUUAUCUUUGCACACGGUGUACUUUGAUUGGCUAACACACUGCCAUACCUUUAUUCCUUUAUUCAUUUGUGUAUAAAUAAAGGCUCCUAGAGCAACGAGUCAGAUCAGAAAUGACUUGCUGAGCUUCUACAUAUCUCCUGUGUGAUGUCUCAUUAUUUCUGGUCUCCAGCCAGCUGCUAAGUACAGAACCAUUGACUGAUGUUCAAGGGUAUUAAACAGACGACCAAAGGACGUAGAUAUACAGAGUCUAUCUCCAACAAUAAUACCGCAGUAGGCAUCAGUGAACCCAUCAGGCCCUGGUGAUUUGUGAGGAUGUAAUGCAGCGAUAACCUUCAAUUCCUCUUCCGUAACCUCCUUCUCCAGUAGCUCUAUUUGCUCUGGAGUAAGUACAAAAGAUGGCACGUUUGAGACUGAACUAUGAGGUCUCUCCAGGAAUCUGUCCAUACCACGAUGGACCUCUUUCAGUAAAUGCCUCGUACUUACAGCGACAAUCUCACGAACAGUAUAUCAUGAAACAAUAUAUGAAGUAAUCUCACAUCAACCUACCUACUGGACCCUUAAUUGUAAGCUUGGUUUACACUGUGUGGAGUCACAAAGCUUACAUGUAGUGAACAAAGUGUACAGGGGUACAGAGCAAACCUGGGUUUCCAGCUGCCUCUCCGCAAUCUCCUCCUGGAUGUCUGAGCGCUCUCUGAAGCUCAACAUGGACAAAACUGAACUCAUCAUCUUCCCCCCAUCCAGAGCAACACCCCCGACCAAUAUCUCUAUCAUUGUUGACAACAUCACCAUCUCUUCAACUCUGCUGCUUGGGUGUCACUCUUGACUCCUCCCUCUCCUUUGGACCCCACAUCCAAGCUCUGGCACAAUCCUGUCAUUUCCAGCUACGCAACAUUGCUCGUAUCAGGCUAUAUCUCUCCCAGAGUGCAACUAAACUCAUCAUCCACUCACUGGUCAUCUCACGACUUGACUACUGCAAUGUUCUCCUCACUGGCCUCAUUUGCUCCCAUCUUGCUCCCCUCCAAUCUGUCCUAAACUCUGCAGCUAGGCUUAUCUUCCUCUCCCACCGCACCACAUCUGCCACUCCCCAAAAUCUACACUGGCUCCCAUUCCCCUACAGAAUCCUCUUCAAACUCCUCACCCUCACAUACAAGGCCAUCUCUAAUUCCACUGCUCCCUACAUCUCCAACCUCCUCUACCUUCAUACUCCCGCCCGCCCCCUACGGUCAACCAAUGACCAUCGCCUCUCCACUGCCCUUGUCACUGCUUCACAUGCUUGUGUUCAAGACUAUGCCCGUGCCGCUCCUCUUCAGUGGAACGCACUCCCCCACUCCAUUAGACUCUCCCUGACCUUGCAAAGCUUCAAACGGGCACUAAAAACCCAACUAUUCAUCAAAGCAUACUCUCCCGAUGCAUAACCCAGUCCUGAAGCCACGCCUCCACCGCCCUGCCGCAUGCCGUGAACAUCUCAGCUUUGCUUGCAUACUGCCAUCAGGCUAACUCCCGCUUGCCUGCACCUCUUGUCAUCUGUCUGUCGCCCCUCCCCACUAGAUUGUUAGCUCUUCAGAGCAGGACCCUCUUUCCUCUUGUUAUCUAAGCCCUCGUCUCAACACAUUUCACUCGCAGCUCUCCCCUACUCAAAGAUCAUCUUUACCCUGCAAGUAAAGGCUCAUCUCCAUCUAUGGCCACCAGCCUCUAGUAGUAUGAUGAUCAAUCCCUCAAUACUUACAUCUUAGCUGUAUUAUGUCUUGAGAAUGUGUGGUGCUCUAUGUUACCUGUACACUAUUUCUGUUAUUUAUUUACUGUAAUGCUAUGUUUUGUCUCCCUGUACUGUCCUUUGUACAGCGCUGCGAAACACAUGUGGCGCCUUAUAAAUAAAAUGUAAUAAUAAUAAUAAUAAUAAUAUGCCAGGCUGUGCAUUCCCUGACAUGGUCGCAUCUGAUAUUCUGGGAAACCGCACGUUAUGACCAUCAGAACUGCAUUCAUAUUAUGUCUUUGGAAAGCUUAUUAAGAGACAAUGAUGCUAGAUAUUAAAGAACAUCAAUAAAUGGAAUUUUAUAAGGAUUUAGACAACAGUUGAGGAUGUGCAAUCAUCUGGGAAAGAGACGCUAAAAGACUUUGUGCUUCCAAAACUAAAAUUGAAUGGGAAUAUGUAAUUUUGUUUUUGCUCCAUGCUUUGUGCAAUAUAUUUUAUCUACAACUUUAUACUGAUUCCUUUGCAUCAAAAUUAGUGGAAUUGCUCUCACUUCCUCUCCUGUAGGCAGAGGUGAGUACUGAUGCGCUCAGCAGCAGCAGCUGCAGCCUCCACUGACCCACCGCAACCCAGCACAAAGCAACAUGUGUUGGGCUGGGGAAAGAAGCUGCUGCUGAUAGGUAAGAGUGUGUGUGGGGGCUGAGGCAGACCUAGGCCCCCUGCCAGGUCUCUCCAACAAGCCCGACCCAACCAGGAAAUUAGUACACCCCCCCCCCCCCCCAGUGUGAGUUUGUAUGUGGCUACUAUGCGAAAAAGAUGCAAAAUUCAUGAAAAAGUAUGGAAUUGCUACCCGUAGCACUCUCAUGUUCUACAUUGAGGACCUCACAAGUAGUGGCAAAUAAAGAAAAAAUAAGCAAAGAGCGGAUUUAUUUUUUUGCAUGCAGAUUAAAUAUGUGGAAUUAAGCUAGGAAACACCCCUUCACAAUUUUAAAUCGUACAUUUUAAAUCUGUUUCAACUGCAGUGCAACGUGGUUGUGCCAAGUAACAAAUUACACCUGUUUUAAUUUUCUCCUAACACUGAUGCUUAUCAGUUUAGCUACAGUACCAUGUAUUGUGCAUACGGAUGGUGUAAUGGUUAGCAUUACUGCCUCACAGCACUGAGGUCAUGGGUUCGAUUCCCACCAUGGCCCAACUGUGUGGAGUUUGUAUAUUCUCCCCGUACUUGCGUGGGUUUCCUCCGGGUACUCCGGUUUCCUCCCACAAUCCAAAAAUAUACUGGUAGGUUAAUUGGAUCCCAACAAAAUUAACCCUAGCAUGAAUGUGUGUGCGUGUACAUGUGGUAGGGAAUAUAGAUUGUAAGCUCCACUGGGGCAGGGACUGAUGUGAAUGGCCAAAUAUUCUCUGGAAAGCGCUGCGGAAUAUGUGUGCGCUAUAUAAAUAACUGGUAAUAAAUAAAUAAUAAAUAAUAAAAGCAUAUACAAUGGAUUCAGUAUGAUAUCCUGGCUGUCAGUAUCCUGGCAGUCAUGAGACCAAUGCUGGGAUCCAGACAGCUGGAAUACCGGCACCGAGCACAGCAUGUUCCCUCAUGGGCUUGCUGUGCUUGCCACGCUUCGGGCCAGGUGGCGAUCUUUGGUCACCACAGGGUUAUAUUACCCCUCGGGUGGUGGCAUGGAUCACCACCUGAGUGGGGAUUCUGGACGGUGUCGGUAUCCUGACAUUUGGGAUCCUGACAGCUGGCAAAUUGAAUGCCUCCACAUACAAUGUAGCCACACUCAUCAUGGCUACAUAUAGGCACCUCAUUUGCCGUGACCACAUGCCCAUCUAAGGCACAUGCCUUAUACGUACAUGCACCCCAUUCACAUAAAUGGUAGAGGCCGUGGCUAGGUGCAGGCGCGCCUAGUAGCACCAGGAGUGCCCAUACUUGGCAGAAGUAGCCACAAUGACAGUAGCUACAUCUGUAGAUACAGUAAGCUCUAAAAAAAAAAGCAGCAGUGUCUCUCAAUCACAGGAUAUCUGCUAAUAUGUAAUGCAUUCCUGUGGGGCACAUUUAUCACUAAUACUAAUGUUCUAAUUAAAAGAUUCAUUUUUUUCAUGCUGUGUUCAGUGAGAAAAUAAAUUAUAUGCUUUUAAGUACUGGAGAUUCAGAGUGUCUCUUUGUCAGAAGAAAGCUCAUCAUUUCUGGAGUAUGUUAUUAAGUCCGACCUAUUUUAAAAUACUCAUCUCAUAAACCAGAAAACCUGUGGUUUGGUUGCCAGCAGGUCAAGUAAAUGUCUGAAAGGGCAAAUCACAUUACUUUGGCACCUACGAUAAAAGUACAACCUACUGUUAUAUGUAAGAGGAAAAAAAUUGAAUAUGAAAUUUAUUGAAAAAUUUAAAGAAAUACCUACAAUUAUUCUGAGUUAAGAUCAUUAAAAAUGUCUGGUUAUUUCAGCCAUAUGCUUAAAUUAUCAACAUUAUUUUUUCCAAAGUAUAUUUUUUGCAGACAGCUUGCAAAAUAUUUGAACAAGAUUUACACAAUGAUUGUUUUACAACUAUAUAAACAUAUACAAAAUGAAUUGCUGUACUACAGAUUUAAAUGUAAUUUUU